GAUGAAGAACGUAGCGAAAUGCGAUAAGUAAUGUGAAUUGCAGAAUUCAGUGAAUCAUCGAAUCUUUGAACGCACAUUGCGCCCGCCAGUAUUCUGGCGGGCAUGCCUGUUCGAGCGUCAUUUCAACCAUCAAGCCCCCGGCUUGUGUUGGGGACCUGCGGCUGCCGCAGGCCCUGAAAACCAGUGGCGGGCUCGCUACUCACUCCGAGCGUAGUAAUACAUCUCGCUCAGGGCGUGCUGCGGGUUCCGGCCGUUAAAAAGCCUUAUUUACCCAAGGUUGACCUCGGAUCAGGUAGGAAGACCCGCUGAACUUAAGCAUAUCAAUAAGCGGAGGA
rnacentral:misc_RNA from 1 species